GAUGAACGCUGGCGGCGUGCCUAAUACAUGCAAGUCGAGCGAACAGACGAGGAGCCUACUCCUCUGACGUUAGCGGCGGACGGGUGAGUAACACGUGGAUAACCUACCUAUAAGACUGGGAUAACUUCGGGAAACCGGAGCUAAUACCGGAUAACAUGUUGAACCGCAUGGUUCAACAGUGAAAGACGGUCUUGCUGUCACUUAUAGAUGGAUCCGCGUCGCAUUAGCUAGUUGGUAAGGUAACGGCUUACCAAGGCAACGAUGCGUAGCCGACCUGAGAGGGUGAUCGGCCACACUGGAACUGAGACACGGUCCAGACUCCUACGGGAGGCAGCAGUAGGGAAUCUUCCGCAAUGGGCGAAAGCCUGACGGAGCAACGCCGCGUGAGUGAAGAAGGUCUUCGGAUCGUAAAACUCUGUUAUUAGGGAAGAACAAAUGUGUAAGUAACUAUGCACGUCUUGACGGUACCUAAUCAGAAAGCCACGGCUAACUACGUG
rnacentral:rRNA from 1 species